CGUAAGAAAAUAGUCCAUCAUGGCCGACCAAGAAGAUGUUCAAACAACCAAGAGAUAUGUUAGUCCAAAGACAGAAUGAGGAGCGAACUUUUACCACUUAUUUGUGUAGAAGAGUAUGGUACCAGGGGUGCAGCUGACUCUGAUUCCCGGCUUGUUCAAAUGAAAAAAGGCAGAUGAGGCACUGGAAUCCGAAUGUAAUAAAAAAUGCCAUUGUAUGAGGAUUGACCUGCAAUGCAUGGCAAUCAUCUUAACACAACUGCAACGCCUUCCUUGGAAAAAUGAGUGCAAGAUGGAAACAAAGCGUUUAGUGGAACAUCUUGUCAUCUCAAAUAUUUGAUGACUUACAUACUGAUGUCCCAAAUUCAAGGUUGUGAGUUCAAGACCUCCAAGAUACUUUCUCUUGACCUCAGGAAAAGGAUGUCCAUACUUGUUUCUUCUUAGGCAACAGACUUAAGAGUGAUUUUGUAAGCUUCCAGCUUGCAUAGCAAUCUGAUAAGGCAUAGAAUAAGUACUA